rnacentral:rRNA from 1 species
UGGGGAAUAUUGCACAAUGGGCGCAAGCCUGAUGCAGCAACGCCGCGUGAGGGACGACGGCCUUCGGGUUGUAAACCUCUUUUAGUAGGGAAGAAGCGAAAGUGACGGUACCUGCAGAAAAAGCACCGGCUAACUACGUGCCAGCAGCCGCGGUAAUACGUAGGGUGCGAGCGUUGUCCGGAAUUAUUGGGCGUAAAGAGCUCGUAGGCGGUCUGUCGCGUCUGCUGUGAAAACCCGAGGCUCAACCUCGGGCCUGCAGUGGGUACGGGCAGACUAGAGUGCGGUAGGGGAGAAUGGAAUCCCUGGUGUAGCGGUGGAAUGCGCAGAUAUCAGGAGGAACACCGAUGGCGAAGGCAGUUCUCUGGGCCGUAACUGACGCUGAGGAGCGAAAGCGUGGGGAGCGAACAGGAUUAGAUACCCUGGUAGUCCACGCCGUAAACGUUGGGCGCUAGAUGUGGGGACCAUUCCACGGUUUCCGUGUCGCAGCUAACGCAUUAAGCGCCCCGCCUGGGGAGUACGGCCGCAAGGCUAAAACUU